rnacentral:rRNA from 1 species
UACAGAGGUCCCAAGCGUUGUUCGGAUUCACUGGGCGUAAAGGGUGCGUAGGUGGUCAGGUAAGUCUGUUGUGAAAUCCCGGAGCUCAACUCCGGAACUGCAUCGGAUACUAUCUGGCUUGAGGAUUGAAGGGGGGACUGGAAUUCUCGGUGUAGCAGUGAAAUGCGUAGAUAUCGAGAGGAACACCAGUGGCGAAGGCGAGUCCCUGGACAAUACCUGACGCUGAGGCACGAAAGCUAGGGGAGCAAACAGG